rnacentral:tRNA from 1 species
AGUCUUAUAGUCAAAAAUGAUGAUUUUAAAUUGCAAAUUUAAAGGUGGAUGAUUCCUAAGGCUU